GCAAAAAGUCAAAUAAUGCAAUUUGAUAUGGAAGAGUCUGCAAAUUACAACUUAAAAAACAAACAUGAGAAUGACAAAUAACAACUAUCAGCGUCUUUCAUUUUCAAUAAUAAUUGAGUUGUAAAUAGCACAACGGGGGCACAGAAGUCAGGAUAGGCAUCACAACCACAGAUUGUCUGCUCUAUGAUUCCAAAGAGACACCAAAGAAACAAGCUUUAAUUGCUACACUAAACUAGGACCAAGGCACAGGCUCUAACACCAGCAAUAAAUUCUUAAGUGUUUUUCAGACCAUGGUGAUUCAUGGUCUUAGGUUGAUUUUGUGUAGAUGCGGAUGCCAAAAGCCAAACCCAAUAUAGCAAGGGGAACCAAGAAUUGCAGGAGCUUGAUAAUGAACUCAGAGGUCUUAUCCUGGUUGUAGUGAGGCUGAUUUGGAGGUUUAUAUGCAGCCUUCUUAGGGAUGGUUGAAGAGUCAAUCUCUCCAACAUAGUAUUGAUCCAUCAUUUCUCUAGCACUUGUGCUGUGGCCCACAUCCUCGAAAUCAUCAGUUGCAUCUUUCCCUGCAAAACAAGCAUAGUGUUUUAUAUUCUGUAGUGUCUUGGUAAGUGACAGACUCAAUCUUAUUUGUAGUUUGCUUCAAAGGGGUACUGCUGAGACCGCACCUGUGGCAGACAACAAGACCUCAUCACCACCAGGAUGGUCUUCCAAAAACUUUGUCACAUCGUAAACCUGUUUCAAUAAAUCAUAAUGGUUCAGAGAUGAGAUAAUACUGUGUUUCUAUCAUACCUACUGGGCAUACAAAGUUUUCAAAGUUAGAAUUAUUUCCCCAAGAUUAAAUGGAUAGGCGCAGAAGAAAUUUGGACAGAUGUAAAAAGGAUAAAGCUUUCCCAUUAGUUGGCCUGAAAGAUACCCAUCAUCUGAAAUAGGAAGUGAGGAGAAACAUAAAUUGAAUGGACAGCAGAGUAGUGGAAACACCUAUUUCUUCCAAAUAUUGGAAGCAGAACAAUAUGCUAUUGCUGAAAUGUAGAAAAAAUAAAAAAGAAAAUUAUACUAAUUAACAAAAGCAAAAACAAGAUGUCCUACUAAACUGUUUGAUACUUUCAUCACAAAAUCUUCUACUCCCAACAAUCAAAGAUAAAAAAGAAAUUCCAUAUUCUGACAAAAAUUAGCUUAGCAGCUAACAAUGGGGAUUAACAUUCUCAUAAAACUGAAGAGCGCCUCGAUUAAGCUCAGAAUCAAGUAGAAAGCAAAACUAGCUAAAAGGCCCUCAUUUCCAACUUUCCAUGAGAUGAAGGAGACCAAGAGUAAGCAGUGUACUAACUUAUCAUUGGGCAAAUCUAUAUUAAGGUGGCAGCCCUGCCCUUUAAAUGAGCAUAUUCUUUUUUCCCUCCUUUUUGCCUCUCUAUAUAUAAUUAAUUAUUUCUAUCCCUGACACCAGUAUGGAUAGGCACUAAAGUCUUGGAUGUAGAAUUUGGUACUUCAAAUGGUAAAACUUGUGAAAUUGUAGAAAAUAUAGAAUGAACGUAUAUGGGAUGUAAAUGUAGAACAAUGUUAGAACUAUGAACUAUAGUCGGUAGAUAGAAAGUUGUAAAGGUACAGUUAUAGGUAGAAUCCGAUAUUAGCAAGGUUGAAAACCCACUAUGGAUGUUCCACGAAAAGUAGAGGUAGAACACGAACAUAAUUGUCACCUUGUUAGGUCACUCCAAGGGAACAACUACACUCAAAAUCCCUAGAAAUCCACCAAAAAGGGAAAGAAAACACAAUAUGAAGAAAACUCUCAAAUUUUAUUGAUGCCCAAAAGUAAACUACAAAAGGCGGGGAAGCCCCAUUUAUAGGAUACAGCCUCGAUACUAACUAGAGAAUAAAAAUCUCCGACUAAUUAAGAAAAUACCAGGCUUUCCAAAAUAAAUAACUUCCUGUUAAAUAACUUUAGAGAGAUUUCCAAGCUCCCCAUAUAGAGUAAUCUAAAAUAGAAAGUCACAAGAUAAUUUCUCAAAUUAUUAUUCUUUUGCUUAAAACUAGAAUAUUCCUAAACUAAUUGACGUCAAUCCUUUUAUGCUGCCCUCCUUUUAAUCUAAAUAUAAUAUAUCAAGCUAACCAAAGACAGAACAAGCUCAUUUGCAGUUGCAUAUCUUAUUUUGCUCACUGUCUUCAAACCCAAAAUUCUUCAGAAGUGAUGUUUUAGCCUAGAAAAACAACACAGAAAUCAAAAUUCUAGACUCUUUCAUGGCUACGAUAACGUAUUGGGUUGUGUUGAGAUAAAUCUUAGUUAUAUCUACUUACAUACGGAUAUAUGCAUCCUAAGGUUCUUUAUAUAGCACACGAGUUGACAAUCGGAUACAGGGGAGAAGAGAGAGACCAAAAAACAGCAAACAUUCAUGUAGGUAUUAAUCCUUUGAAGGACCCUGGACCAUAAAUUUAAAUGGUAUAGGACUAAUUGGAAAGAUAUAAGGGUAGAAGUUAAACCUAUUCAACAAUCAGUCACCACCUCCUUAUGUUCCACAUUAUAUAUUGGCCCAGAGGUACAAAAUUUCUGUAAAAACCUUGCUUUUUGUACAUACAGAUCACAGCCAAGCACUACGAUUUAAACCAAUUAGAUAUGGAAAAGUCAAAGAGAACAACAAACUUCCAGAAAGACAAUGGUGAAAGUCAUCUUCAAGUGAGAUGUUCCAAAAAUCAUAUGAUUUGCAUAGCAUCCUGAAAUAAGCCCAACCAUCAGACUUUAUAUCAAAAUUAAUCUUUAUAUUGGUUCGUCAUGGUAACUUCACUUAACAAUGAUAACUUUAAAAGCAGUACAACUAAAAUAUUCAAAUAGCUGGUUUGAAAAAGUAGAAGGAUUAUGAGUUCCCACAAAAUAUUGGAAGGAAAAAAAAUAAUCAUAAGUCAAGAGGGCUUAAUACUGGACAAUGAAAGGUCUCCGAAACUACAUAUGAAUUGCCAUCAAUGAAGUUAACAUCAAUUCAGAAUGCAGUAGAACUAACAAAGCCCUAAUUAGACUGUCUUAUUAAAGCGAACAUAUCAUGUUGAGUUUUAGCUGCACAAGCCAACAAAAUUCCUUCAGAAAUCUGAUAAGCUAAAAAAUAUUUUACAUCAAUAGCAAAAGCACCCGCUUUCCCCUCUCUUACCAGCUGAUAUGUCCGAAUAUGCGACUCUCAUACAAUAUGCAGAAGUUCCUUUGUGUACUUGCCGUCGAUAAUCAACCAACAGUCCUUGGGAUUGUUGUGCUCAGACACCUGAGCCAAGGUGAAAACUUUCCCUUCACCACCCAUCUGUUUUCUAUUCCCUUUUCUUCGAAAACGUGAGAUAUAAACUGGGUGCGAUUGGUAUCAAGGAAAAGACAACUUUUGAGGGAUAUACGAAUAGGAGAUGGAUCUGCUCGAGAGCGAACCAAAAAGGAGGCUGGGCCUGAGCAGCACAAUGAAAUUGGAAGAAAGGGUGGGCGUGGGAAGAGAGAGAGAAGAGAAUUGAGUAAUUUAACGAGAGUGGUGAGGUGAUUGAAUUAGUUUUGGUAGCAAGUGGGUGUGCUGGAUGCUGACUUUUUAUGAAGUUUUAAAGAAUCCAAGAUCUCUUGUUGGAAAAUAGUUGGUAGCAGCAGAUGCUU
rnacentral:misc_RNA from 1 species